UAGGGAAUCUUCCGCAAUGGGCGAAAGCCUGACGGAGCAACGCCGCGUGAGUGAUGAAGGUCUUCGGAUCGUAAAACUCUGUUAUUAGGGAAGAACAAAUGUGUACGUAACUAUGCACGUCUUGACGGUACCUAAUCAGAAAGCCACGGCUAACUACGUGCCAGCAGCCGCGGUAAUACGUAGGUGGCAAGCGUUAUCCGGAAUUAUUGGGCGUAAAGCGCGCGUAGGCGGUUUUUUAAGUCUGAUGUGAAAGCCCACGGCUCAACCGUGGAGGGUCAUUGGAAACUGGAAAACUUGAGUGCAGAAGAGGAAAGUGGAAUUCCAUGUGUAGCGGUGAAAUGCGCAGAGAUAUGGAGGAACACCAGUGGCGAAGGCGACUUUCUGGUCUGUAACUGACGCUGAUGUGCGAAAGCGUGGGGAUCAAACAGG
rnacentral:rRNA from 1 species